rnacentral:rRNA from 1 species
CGUAGGGGGCAAGCGUUGUCCGGAAUCAUUGGGCGUAAAGAGCUCGUAGGCGGCUCAGUAAGUCGGGUGUGAAACCACCAGGCUCAACCUGGGGACGCCACCCGAUACUGCUGUGGCUAGAGUCCAGUAGGGGAGUGUGGAAUUCCCGGUGUAGCGGUGAAAUGCGCAGAUAUCGGGAGGAACACCAGCGGCGAAGGCGGCACUCUGGGCUGGAACUGACGCUGAGGAGCGAAAGCGUGGGUAGCAAACAGGAUUAGAUACCCUGGUAGUCCACGCCGUAAACGUUGGGCACUAGGUGUGGGGACCCUCCAACGGUUUCCGUGCCGUAGCUAACGCAUUAAGUGCCCCGCCUGGGGAGUACGGCCGCAAGGCUA